rnacentral:rRNA from 1 species
UGUAGUCAUAUGCUUGUCUCAAAGAUUAAGCCAUGCAUGUCUAAGUAUAAGCAAUUAUACCGCGAAACUGCGAAUGGCUCAUUAAAUCAGUUAUCGUUUAUUUGAUAGUACCUUACUACAUGGAUAACCGUGGUAAUUCUAGAGCUAAUACAUGCUAAAAAUCCCGACUUCGGAAGGGAUGUAUUUAUUAGAUUAAAAACCAAUGCCCUUCGGGGCUCUCUGGUGAUUCAUAAUAACUUCUCGAAUCGCACGGCCUUGCGCCGGCGAUGGUUCAUUCAAAUUUCUGCCCUAUCAACUUUCGACGGCUGGGUCUUGGCCAGCCAUGGUGACAACGGGUAACGGAGGGUUAGGGCUCGACCCCGGAGAAGGAGCCUGAGAAACGGCUACUACAUCCAAGGAAGGCAGCAGGCGCGCAAAUUACCCAAUCCCGACUCGGGGAGGUAGUGACAAUAAAUACUGAUACAGGGCUCUUUUGGGUCUUGGAAUUGGAAUGAGUACAAUUUAAAUCCCUUAACGAGGAACAAUUGGAGGGCAAGUCUGGUAAUCG